AUUGAACGCUGGCGGCAUGCUUUACACAUGCAAGUCGAACGGCAGCGGGGGCUUCGGCCUGCCGGCGAGUGGCGAACGAGUGAGUAAUGCAUCGGAACGUGCCCAUGUCGUGGGGGAUAACGUAUCGAAAGGUACGCUAAUACCGCAUACGUCCUGAGGGAGAAAGCGGGGGAUUCUUCGGAACCUCGCGCGAUUGGAGCGGCCGAUGUCGGAUUAGGUAGUAGGUGAGGUAAAGGCUCACCUAGGCGACGAUCCGUAGCGGGUCUGAGAGGAUGAUCCGCCACACUGGGACUGAGACACGGCCCAGACUCCUACGGGAGGCAGCAGUGGGGAAUUUUGGACAAUGGGCGCAAGCCUGAUCCAGCCAUGCCGCGUGAGUGAAGAAGGCCUUCGGGUUGUAAAGCUCUUUCGGCCGGGAAGAAAUCGUGUUCUCUAACAUAGGACAUGGAUGACGGUACCGGACUAAGAAGCACAGGCUAACUACGUGCCAGCAGCCGCCGUAA
rnacentral:rRNA from 1 species